rnacentral:rRNA from 1 species
AGCGAACGCUGGCGGCAGGCUUAAUACAUGCAAGUCGAGCGCCUGUAGCAAUACAGGAGCGGCAGACGGGAGAGUAACACGUGGGAACGUGCCCUUUGGUUCGGAACAACACAGGGAAACUUGUGCUAAUACCGGAUAAGCCCUUACGGGGAAAGAUUUAUCGCCAAAGGAUCGGCCCGCGUCUGAUUAGCUUGUUGGUGAGGUAAUGGCUCACCAAGGCGACGAUCAGUAGCUGGUCUGAGAGGAUGAUCAGCCUCAUUGGGACUGAGACACGGCCCAAACUCCUACGGGAGGCAGCAGUAGGGAAUAUUGGACAAUGGGCGCAAGCCUGAUCCAGCCAUGCCGCGUGAGUGAUGAAGGCCUUAGGGUUGUAAAGCUCUUUCGGCGGGGAAGGAUAAUGACGGUACCC